GCCCAUCUAGCCCACUUGGUAGAGCACAAGGCUUCUAACCAUGUGGUCGUGGGUUCAAGCCCCAUAGUUUGCA
rfam:Zea mays cultivar B73 chromosome 2, whole genome shotgun sequence.